rnacentral:rRNA from 1 species
CUACGGGAGGCACCAGUGAGGAAUAUUGCACAAUGGGGGGAACCCUGAUGCAGCAACGCCGCGUGGAGGAUGACGCAUUUCGGUGUGUAAACUCCUUUUAUAUGUCAAGAAAAUGACGGUAGCAUAUGAAUAAGCACCGGCUAACUCCGUGCCAGCAGCCGCGGUAAUACGGAGGGUGCAAGCGUUACUCGGAAUCACUGGGCGUAAAGGACGCGUAGGCGGGUUGGAAAGUCAGGUGUGAAAUCCUACAGCUUAACUGUAGAACUGCACUGGAAACUUCUAAUCUAGAGUAUGGGAGGGGGAGAUGGAAUUCGUGGUGUAGGGGUAAAAUCCGUAGAUAUCACUAGGAAUACCUAAAGCGAAGGCGAUCUCCUGGAACAUUACUGACGCUAAGGCGUGAAAGCGUGGGGAGCAAACAGGAUUAGAUACCCCAGUAGUC